rnacentral:rRNA from 1 species
CCGUUCGGUUGUAGAGCACUUUUGUCCGGAAAGAAAACAUUCCACUAAUACUGGGGAUGGCUGACGGUACCGGAAGAAUAAGCACCGGCUAACUACGUGC